rnacentral:rRNA from 1 species
UACGAAGGGGGCAAGCGUUGUUCGGAAUUACUGGGCGUAAGGGCGCGUAGGCGGUGCACUAAGUCAGGCGUGAAAGCCCUGGGCUCAACCCGGGAAUUGCGCUUGAUACUGGUGCGCUUGAAUCCAGGAGAGGUUGGUGGAAUUCCCAGUGUAGAGGUGAAAUUCGUAGAGAUUGGGAAGAACACCGGUGGCGAAGGCGGCCAACUGGACUGGUAUUGACGCUGAGGCGCGAAAGCGUGGGGAGCAAACAGG